GACAGUGAGAGAGAGAGAGAGAGAGAGAGAGAGAGAGAGAGAGUGAGUAGAGAAGAAGUGUCUAAGAAUUGUUGAAAAUUACUUGGAUUACUCGUGGCAAAUGGCAUCCAUUCAACUAUUUAUGGCCUUAUCCCCCAAUGCAGUUCAUCUUCUCAGGCAGCAGCCGUGACAGCGUGCGAAAUCCGUUUGUCACGCUGCCAUCACUAGGAUAGUACGGUAAUCUCUCUCUCUCUCUCUCUCUCCCUCUCUCUUUCUUCCUUCUGCCAU
rnacentral:miRNA from 1 species